rnacentral:RNase_P_RNA from 1 species
GUAAAGAAAUUGGUGACCAAUAUAAUUUGGGAAGGUCUGAGCUAUCACGAUAAUCUCUAGGAGGGAAACCCUGUACAAUAGGGUGGUUAAGUAAAAGAAAUUUACCUGUGUGUGGUUAAUGACAAAGAAGUCUAUUAAGUUAAUGAGUUCGUUGAGCUUCGUUAAUUGAAUGACCGAGUCGAUCAACACUUGGUUGGUAAUGCUUAACUGUGAUUGGAAUCAUUGAAGUUAGAUUCACUGGGCAGUUCUCACCAUGGUGCGGCUGUAACUUGAUUCAGAUUAAUCUCUAGCUAAC